rnacentral:hammerhead_ribozyme from 1 species
AUCCAGCUGAUGAGUCCCAAAUAGGACGAAACCCGCGUUCUGGAU